GGGGAAUCUUGCACAAUGGGGGCAACCCUGAUGCAGCGACGCCGCGUGAGCGAUGAAGCCCUUCGGGGCGUAAAGCUCUUUCGACCGGAACGAUAAUGACGGUACCGGGAGAAGAAGCUGCGGCUAACUACGUGCCAGCAGCCGCGGUAAUACGUAGGCAGCAAGCGUUGUUCGGAGUUACUGGGCGUAAAGAGUGCGUAGGCGGUUUUCUAAGUUCGGUGUGAAAUCUCCCGGCUUAACUGGGAGGGUGCGCCGAAGACUGGGAAGCUGGAGUGUGGGAAAGGCAGGCGGAAUUCCUGGUGUAGCGGUUAAAUGCGUAGAUAUCAGGAGGAACACCGGCGGUGUAGACGGCUUGCUAGACCAUAACUGACGCUGAGGCACGAAAGCGUGGGUAGCAAACA
rnacentral:rRNA from 1 species